rnacentral:rRNA from 1 species
CGGAGGAUCCAAGCGUUAUCCGGAAUCAUUGGGUUUAAAGGGUCCGUAGGCGGUUUGGUAAGUCAGUGGUGAAAGCCCAUCGCUCAACGGUGGAACGGCCAUUGAUACUGCCAGACUUGAAUUACUGGGAAGUAACUAGAAUAUGUAGUGUAGCGGUGAAAUGCUUAGAGAUUACAUGGAAUACCAAUUGCGAAGGCAGGUUACUACCGGUGGAUUGACGCUGAUGGACGAAAGCGUGGGUAGCGAACAGGAUUAGAUACCCUGGUAGUCCACGCCGUAAACGAUGGAUACUAGCUGUUGGGGGCAACUUCAGUGGCUAAGCGAAAGUGAUAAGUAUCCCACCUGGGGAGUACGUUCGCAAGAAUG